rnacentral:rRNA from 1 species
GACGAACGCUGGCGGCGUGCUUAACACAUGCAAGUCGAACGGAAAGGCCCUGCUUUUGUGGGGUGCUCGAUUGCCGAACGGGUGAGUAACACGUGUGUAACCUGCCCCUGACUUUGGGAUAACAUCAGGGAACUCGGGCUAAUACCGGGUAUGAUCUCCUGCUGCAUGGUGGGGGAUGGAGAGAUUCGGCGGUUGGGGAUGGACUCGCGGCUUACCCGCUUGUUGGUGGGGUAGUUGCUUACCAAGGCUUUGACGGGUAGGCGGCCUGAGAGGGUGACCGGCCACAAUGGGACUGAGAGACGGCCCAGACGCCUACGGGAGGCAGCAGUGGAGAAUAUUGCAGAAUGGGCGGAAGCCUGAUGCAGCAACGCCGCGUGCGGGAUGACGGCCUUCGGGUUGUAAACCGCUUUCGCCUGUGACGAAGCGUGAGUGACGGUAAUGGGUAAAGAAGCACCGGCUAACUACGUG